CUUGACACUGAACAUUGAGCCUUGAUGUGUAGGAUAGGUGGGAGGCUUUGAAGCGUGGACGCCAGUCUGCGUGGAGCCAACCUUGAAAUACCACCCUUUAAUGUUUGAUGUUCUAACGUAGGCCCGUAAUCCGGGCUGCGGACAGUGUCUGGUGGGUAGUUUGACUGGGGCGGUCUCCUCCCAAAGAGUAACGGAGGAGCACGAAGGUUGGCUAAUCCUGGUCGGACAUCAGGAGGUUAGUGCAAUGGCAUAAGCCA
rnacentral:rRNA from 1 species